UACGGAGGGUGCAAACGUUGCUCGGAAUCAUUGGGCGUAAAGCGCACGUAGGCGGCCGACUAAGUCGGGUGUGAAAGCCCUGGGCUCAACCCAGGAAGUGCACUCGAAACUGAUCGGCUUGAAUAUGGAAGAGGGUUGCGGAAUUCCCGGUGUAGAGGUGAAAUUCGUAGAUAUCGGGAGGAACACCAGUGGCGAAGGCGGCAACCUGGGCCAAUAUUGACGCUGAGGUGCGAAAGCGUGGGGAGCAAACAGG
rnacentral:rRNA from 1 species